UGGUUAAAAAUCAAACCAUGAACACCUUAGGCUACACAUCUCACUCUUCUUUUUUCGCAAGGAGUAUUCACAGUUUAAUUGUCAAAUUGAAGGUUUGUUGUUCAGGUUGUCUCGGAACGUAGUUCGAUUGUACAAACUUUUUGUCCAGCUUCGAUGUGAAGAGCAUAUGAACAUUUACAAUCUAAGUGCAAAAUUGAUAGUUUGCCUGUCCAGUUUAUUUUGUGUCCGGCAGUUGUUCUCGAGAUGCAAAGUUGAGUCAUUCUCUUAAGCUACUACAAAUUGAAGCAAAUAUGCAUUUAAUGGUGAUGAAUGUGAGAGGGCUGAUACACAUCAAAAGUGUACCACCUGCAUAGGUAACUCGAGGAUGGGCCAAUCAUAAAAAUGCUCUGCGGUAAAGCAAACCCCGGCAGCCAAAAGAGGAAGCGUAAUUCACUAAGAAUUAUGUGAGAAAAUCUGUAAGGAAGCAGGAGACACAUUGAUUACUUAGGUCUGCCUGCUUCAAUCAUACCGGCAAUCAACCUCCUUAUUAUUGCUUCACUGGUUGGAAGCAAUCAUGGCAGUUAUGAAAUUACGAUUUCCAUUCCGCCAAUGUACUGGAGUACUUUUGGCAUUAGCUUUCCUGAUAAUACAUACAGAACAUCCUAUGCUCUCAACAUAUUAGAGAUUGCCAUUAUCACGCAUUUCUGUUGAACCUCCUAGAAACUGCCAUGCAUUAUCUGUUGGAUGUAUGCAUGUAUACAUUGAAUAUUACAAAAAAAAAAUAAAAAAUUGUAGUGAGUUAUGUUACAAAAAAAAAAGUUAUAGUGAGUUAUGUAACAUUUUUGCCCACUUUAAUUCAUGAUGUACAUUAUUUCUUUGGCUCUAACUAAAACAUAUCAAAGCAUAAGAAAUUGAUAACAUCAAAAACUGAUAAAUCAUUUGGUCCGUGCAAAG